AGAGUUUGAUCAUGGCUCAGGAUGAACGCUGGCGGCGUGCUUAACACAUGCAAGUCGAGCGAAGCACUUAGGAAAGAUUCUUCGGAUGAUUUCCUAUUUGACUGAGCGGCGGACGGGUGAGUAACGCGUGGGUAACCUGCCUCAUACGGGGGGAUAACAGUUAGAAAUGACUGCUAAUACCGCAUAAGACCACAGCACCGCAUGGUGCAGGGGUAAAAACUCCGGUGGUAUGAGAUGGACCCGCGUCUGAUUAGUUAGUUGGUGGGGUAACGGCCUACCAAGGCGACGAUCAGUAGCCGACCUGAGAGGGUGACCGGCCACAUUGGGACUGAGACACGGCCCAAACUCCUACGGGAGGCAGCAGUGGGGAAUAUUGCACAAUGGGGGAAACCCUGAUGCAGCGACGCCGCGUGAGCGA
rnacentral:rRNA from 1 species